UACGUAGGGCGCAAGCGUUGUCCGGAAUUAUUGGGCGUAAAGAGCUCGUAGGCGGUUUGUCGCGUCGGAUGUGAAAGCCCGGGGCUUAACCCCGGGUCUGCAUUCGAUACGGGCAGACUGGAGUGUGGUAGGGGAGAUCGGAAUUCCUGGUGUAGCGGUGGAAUGCGCAGAUAUCAGGAGGAACACCGAUGGCGAAGGCAGAUCUCUGGGCCGUAACUGACGCUGAGGAGCGAAAGCAUGGGGAGCGAACAGG
rnacentral:rRNA from 1 species